ensembl:lncRNA
AACGGCUGUUAAGGGCUCCUUUGGGGCUAUCCUAAAAUAGACAAAACUGAAAUUUGGGGCAAGAGUGAGAUGAAGCCCAAUGACAGGAGAAAGUCAGUGACACGAACAAAAGGAAGAUCAUUGACGUCAUUCACGUCAGUCAUCGGCAAAGUUGGCAAAAGGAGGCCGUAGAGCAAAACCUGUGCAUGGAAGCCCUGGCCUGCUUUAGCGUGGUUUGGAGCAUCCUCAAGGAAAUGGCAACCCACUCCAGUACUCUUGCCUGGAGAAUCCCAUGGACGGAGGAGCCUCGGCGGCUACAGUCCACGGGGUCGCAAAGAGUCGGACACAACUGAGCGACUUCACUCACUCAAGAUUUUUAAUAAGGAUCACAACCGACGGGCAGGCUGGAGGCGGAGAUGCAGGAGCAAACGACAUCAGAAAGGUCAGAGCAGCUCUGUUUGUUUUUCCAAACUGUCAGAGUAAAGUUACAACGUGCCACCUGGGUAAGCCACUAGCAAAGUCCCCGGAUGACGUCCACUGUAACCGCAGGGAUUUCUCACAGUGGGGAUUGCUAGAAGAAGAAUUUGCUUGGGGGAAGGGAGCUGCCAGAAACCAGCCCCAGCGAAGCACCGGGAUGGCUCAAUGCUUGACAUGACAACGGUCUUAUUUUUAAUCCUCAACCAGACCCUCUGAGGCACAGACUCUGAUGGCAAGAGUCCCCUCUCUCGAGCCUCAGCCAUCAGAAAGAGCUACGGACAAAGGAAAAUGCACACUAAUUUAAGACUCAUUCUGAUUACUGACCAAGCCCCAUCUCUGUAGGUGCCACCUGUGCUGAGACCACCUCCCUCCACCAUUCUGCAACUCCCAGCCUCCUCCGCGCACAGUGACGUCAUUUCCUGGUUUUACUUCUGGAUGGUUCUCCAGUCUGCCUACGGUCACACCAAAACUACGCAGCUCCUUCUGAGCCAGGCAGUGGGCACCCAGCAUGGCAGAGCUCACUUGUGAAGCUGGGUAAGUGCGGUUCACUCCGGAAGUGCCUAGACCCUACUGCACUGCCUUGCGUCUUCAUAUUUCAGGCUUUCAAAUCACCUUGCUGCUGCCACGCAGAUAAAGUGGAAGCCUGUUCUACAUCCUGCAGCAAUUUUCAUGUGGGGAAAUAAUAAUAUAGGACAAAGAAUUAUUGAUGUCACCGUCUAGGUCGUAGCUUGAAUCCAUCUUUCCCUACAGAUACUCUGUUGAUUUAAUUGAAGGGAAGCCCAAAUGAUAAUAAAACAGAUGAUAAUGAACACGCUAGCAAUAGCGAACCUUCCCAGAGUACUUUCUCUAAACCAGACGCUGUGCUUUCAUGACUAAAACCAUGAUCGCAAACUGGGUUACUGUGAACCCAGCUUCCGAAGGAGGUGGAUCCCUCAGUUAGGCCCAUUUUACAAAGAAGGAAAUUGAAACCUGGAGAGGUUAAGGAACCAUCCUGAGAGUCAGAAUACUUCAGGGACCUCCCUGAUGGUGCAGUGGCUGAGACUCCACGCUCCCAGUGCAGGGGACUGGCCUCAACCCCUGGUCAGGGAACUAGAUCCCAUGUGAUGCAACCAAGAGUCCAAGCUGCGACAAAGACCUGGCCCAGCUAAACUAAACAUAUGAAUAUAGGACGAUAUCUAGUGUGCAUGGGUGACGGUGUUAGCUGCUCAGUGGUGUCAGACUCUUUGUGACUUCAUGGACUGCAGCCCGCUAGACUCCUCUGUCCAUGGAAUUCUCCAGGCAAGAAUACUCUAGUGGGUUGCCAUUCCCUUCUCCAGGGAAUCUUCCCCAUCCAGGAAUCGAACCCAGGUCUCCUGCACUGCAGGCAGAUUCUUUUUUUAAAUUUAUUUUUUUAUUGAAGGAUAAUUGCUUUACAGAAUUUUGUUGUUUUCUGUCAAACCUUAACAUGAAUCAGCCAUAGGUAUACAUAUAUCCCCUGCCUUUUGAACCUCCCUCCUGUCCCCCUCCCCGUCCUUCCCCUCUAGGUUGAUACAGAGCCCCUGUUUGAGUUUCCUGAGACAUGCAGCAAAUUCCUGGUGGCUGUCUAUUUCACAUAUGGUGAUGUAAGCUUCCAUGUUUCUCUUUCCAUACAUCUCCCCCUCUCCUCUCCUCCCCUCUCCCCCAUCUGUAAGUCUAUUCUCUAUGUCUGUUUCUCCAUUGCUGCCCUGUAAAUAAAGUCUUCGCCUAUAUAUGUGUACAUAUAUUUUUAAAAAAGGAUAAUUCAGUCUUAGUCCUAGCCCUACCACCAACAAGCCUUAUAAUUAUAGUCCAAAAUACAAAUCCAAGUCCUAAUCCUUGGUACCUUGAACAUGACCUUAUUUGGAAAAAGGGUCUUUGCAAAUAAUAUUAAGUUGAAGAACUCGGGAUGAGAUAAUUCUGGAUCACUUGUGUAGAUCUUAAAUUCAGUGACAAAAGUUCUUGUAAGAAAAGGAGAAGACAGAGAUGCAGAAAGGAAGUCCGUGUGAAGACAGAGGCAGAGACUGGAGUGAUGUGGCCACAAGCCAAGAAAUGCAAGGAGCACCCAGGA